CAACAACAGAAAGGAGGUGGUCGAAUGUCUCAUUGUCUCACGCCGCUCGCGGCAAGUCUGAUGGGUGUGACCGCCGACGCGGGGGUUCUCGCCUGACGAUCGCCACGAAUGGCUGACAAUGGAAAGGCCGUGCCCGCAAGGGUGCGGCCUU
rnacentral:sRNA from 1 species